UGGGGAAUAUUGGACAAUGGGCGAAAGCCUGAUCCAGCCAUGCCGCGUGUGUGAAGAAGGUCUUCGGAUUGUAAAGCACUUUAAGUUGGGAGGAAGGGCAGUAAGUUAAUACCUUGCUGUUUUGACGUUACCGACAGAAUAAGCACCGGCUAACUCUGUGCCAGCAGCCGCGGUAAUACAGAGGGUGCAAGCGUUAAUCGGAAUUACUGGGCGUAAAGCGCGCGUAGGUGGUUUGUUAAGUUGGAUGUGAAAGCCCCGGGCUCAACCUGGGAACUGCAUCCAAAACUGGCAAGCUAGAGUACGGUAGAGGGUGGUGGAAUUUCCUGUGUAGCGGUGAAAUGCGUAGAUAUAGGAAGGAACACCAGUGGCGAAGGCGACCACCUGGACUGAUACUGACACUGAGGCACGAAAGCGUGGGGAGCAAACAGGAUUAGAUACCCGCGUAGUCCCUGAGCGGGCUGGCAAGGCGCAU
rnacentral:rRNA from 1 species